rnacentral:rRNA from 1 species
GACGAACGCUGGCGGCGUGCCUAAUACAUGCAAGUAGAACGCACAGUUUAUACCGUAGCUUGCUACACCAUAAACUGUGAGUUGCGAACGGGUGAGUAACGCGUAGGUAACCUGCCUGGUAGCGGGGGAUAACUAUUGGAAACGAUAGCUAAUACCGCAUAAUAUUGAUUAUUGCAUGAUAAUUGAUUGAAAGAUGCUAUUGCAUCACUACCAGAUGGACCUGCGUUGUAUUAGCUAGUAGGUGAGGUAACGGCUCACCUAGGCGACGAUACAUAGCCGACCUGAGAGGGUGAUCGGCCACACUGGGACGGAGACACGGCCCAGACUCCUACGGGAGGCAGCAGUAGGGAAUCUUCGGCAAUGGACGAAAGUCUGACCGAGCAACGCCGCGUGAGUGAAGAAGGUUUUCGGAUCGUAAAGCUCUGUUGUAAGAGAAGAACGGGUGUGAGAGUGGAAAGUUCACACUGUGACGGUUUCUUACCAGAAAGGGACGGCUAACUACGUG